CUUUAUUGGAGAGUUUGAUCCUGGCUCAGGACGAACGCUGGCGGCAUGCCUAAUACAUGCAAGUCGAGCGGACUUGAAGAGAAGCUUGCUUCUCUGAUGGUUAGCGGCGGACGGGUGAGUAACACGUAGGCAACCUGCCCUCAAGCUUGGGACAACUACCGGAAACGGUAGCU
rnacentral:rRNA from 1 species